GACGAACGCUGGCGGCGUGCUUAACACAUGCAAGUCGAACGGAGUUUCUUGGAUCAAGACUUCGGUCAAGUGAAUUGAAACUUAGUGGCGGACUGGUGAGUAACGCGUGAGGAACCUGCCUUUCAGAGGGGGACAACAGUUGGAAACGACUGCUAAUACCGCAUAAGACCACGGGAUCACAUGUUCCUGGGGUAAAAGAUUUAUCGGUGUAGGGUGAGCUCGCGUCCGAUUAGCUAGUUGGUGAGGUAACGGCCCACCAAGGCGACGAUCGGUAGCCGACCUGAGAGGGUGAUCGGCCACAUUGGAACUGAGACACGGUCCAAACUCCUACGGGAGGCAGCAGUGGGGAAUAUUGGGCAAUGGGCGAAAGCCUGACCCAGCAACGCCGCGUGAGUGAAGAAGGUUUUCGGAUUGUAAAGCUCUAUCCUCGAGGACGAAGGAAGUGACGGUACUCGAGAAGGAAGCCCCGGCUAACUACGUG
rnacentral:rRNA from 1 species